GACGUAGGAGGCGAGCGUUGUCCAAAAGGGGGCCCCCUUUAAAACCCCCGGGGGUUUAAAACCCCGGGGGUUUCCCCCUUUGGGGGAAAAGGGGGCCCCAAAAUUUCCCCCGGGGGAAAAUUUCCCCGGGGGAAAAUUUGGGGGUUUUAAAACCCCAAAAGGGGCCCCCUUUAAAACCCCGGGGGUUUAAAACCCCCGGGGUUUUCCCCCUUUUGGGGGGAAAGGGGGCCCCAAAAUUUCCCCGGGGAAAAUUUCCCCGGGGGAAAAUUUGGGGGUUUUAAAACCCCAAAAGGGGCCCCUUUAAACCCCGGGGGUUUAAAACCCCGGGGUUUCCCCCUUUGGGGGAAAAGGGGGCCCCAAAAUUUCCCCCGGGGAAAAUUUCCCCGGGGAAAAUUUGGGGGUUUAAAACCCAAAAGGGGCCCCUUUAAAACCCCGGGGUUUAAAACCCCGGGGUUUCCCCUUUUGGGGGAAAGGGGCCCCAAAAUUUCCCCGGGGAAAAUUCCCCGGGGAAAUUUGGGGGUUUUAAACCCCAAAAGGGGCCCCUUUAAACCCCGGGGGUUAAAACCCCGGGGUUUCCCCUUU
rnacentral:rRNA from 1 species